GACAAGCUAUGAAGGGCACAUGGUGGAUGCCUUGGCAUCGAGAGCCGAUGAAGGACGUAGGAGCCUGCGAUAAGCCCUGGGGAGUUGGCAACCGAGCUGUGAUCCGGGGGUGUCCGAAUGGGGAAACCCAGCUGGAGUCAUGUCCAGUUACCCGCGCCUGAAUAUAUAGGGCGUGUGGAGGGAACGUGGGGAAGUGAAACAUCUCAGUACCCACAGGAAGAGAAAACAACAGUGAUUCCGAGAGUAGUGGCGAGCGAAAUCGGAACAGGCUAAACCUCAUGCGUGUGAUAGCCGGCGGGCGUUGCGUAUGGGGGGUUGUGGGAUCAUUCUAUUCAUUCUGCCGGAUGAGUGAGCAGUAAGAAAUCUCAGUUGAAGUUGAAGUCCAUUGGAAAGUGGCGCCGUAGAGGGUGAUAGCCCCGUAAGUGUAAGGCUGGGACUGCUGAGUGAUAUCCCAAGUAACACGGAACCCCUGAAAUUCCGUGUGAAUCUGGCGGGACCACCCGUUAAGCCUAAAUACUCCUCGAUGACCGAUAGCGGACAAGUACCGUGAGGGAAAGGUGAAAAGUACCCCUGGCGGGGAGUGAAAUAGUACCUGAAACCAUGUGCCUACAAUCCGUCGGAGCGAUGCCCUUGUGGUGUUGUGACGGCGUGCCUUUUGAAGAAUGAGCCUGCGAGUUUGCGUUGUGUUGCGAGGUUAACCCGUGUGGGGAAGCCGUAGCGAAAGCGAGUCCUAAUAGGGCUACUUAGUAGCACGAUCAAGACCCGAAGCGAAGUGAUCUAUCCAUGGGCAGGUUGAAGCGUCGGUAAGACGACGUGGAGGACCGAACCCACUUAGGUUGAAAACUGAGGGGAUGACCUGUGGAUAGGGGUGAAAGGCCAAUCAAACUUCGUGAUAGCUGGUUCUCCCCGAAAUGCAUUUAGGUGCAGCGUCACGUGUUUCUUGCCGGAGGUAGAGCACUGGAUAGCUAAUGGGCCCUACAAGGUUACUGACGUUAGCCAAACUCCGAAUGCCGGUAAGUGAGAGCGUGGCAGUGAGACAGUGGGGGAUAAGCUCCAUUGUCGAGAGGGAAACAGCCCAGACCAUCAGCUAAGGCCCCUAAGCGGUGACUAAGUGGAAAAGGAUGUGGAGUCGCAGUGACAACCAGGAGGUUGGCUUGGAAGCAGCCACCCUUGAAAGAGUGCGUAAUAGCUCACUGGUCAAGUGAUUCCGCGCCGACAAUGUAGCGGGGCUCAAGUCAUCCGCCGAAGCUAUGGCAUUCGCACGUAUAGCUAAGCCGCCCUUGAGGUUGGUUCAGGUGUGUGGAUGGGUAGGGGAGCGUCGUGUCGCGAGUGAAGCAGCGGAGUGAUCCAGUUGUGGACGCGACACGAGUGAGAAUGCAGGCAUGAGUAGCGAAUCACGUGUGAGAAACACGUGCGCCGAAUGAUCAAGGGUUCCAGGGUCAAGCUAAUCUGCCCUGGGUAAGUCGGGACCUAAGGCGAGGCCGACAGGCGUAGUCGAUGGACAACGGGUUGAUAUUCCCGUACCGGCAAAGUAGCGCCCAUGACGAACCUGGUGAUGCUAACCACCCGAAACUUCCGUUAUCUGUUUCCUUCGGGGAGCAGAGGCGGUUGCGGAGCGUGGGACCCGAUCUGGUAGUAGUCAAGCGAUGGGGUGACGCAGGAAGGUAGUCCAACCGUACCGAUGGUUGUGUACGGCUAAGCAUGUAGGGCGAGAUCUAGGCAAAUCCGGAUCUCUGACUUUGAUGUCGAGCUUGAGAUGUGAUGGGGAGCCCGUUGGGGUGAAGUGGAUGAUCCUAUGCUGUCGAGAAAAACCUCUAGCGAGCUACGCGCCGCCCGUACCCCAAACCGACUCAGGUGAUCAGGUAGAGAAUACUAAGGCGAUCGAGCAAACCAUGGUUAAGGAACUCGGCAAAAUGCCCCCGUAACUUCGGGAGAAGGGGGGCCCGGAUCGUGUACCCACUUGCUGGGGAAGCGUGAAGGGCCGCAGAGACCAGGCCCAAGCGACUGUUUACUAAAAACACAGGUCCGUGCGAAGUUGUAAGACGAUGUAUACGGACUGACUCCUGCCCGGUGCUGGAAGGUUAAGGGGACCGGUAAGACUNNNNNNNNNNNNNNNNNNNNNNNNNNNNNNNNNNNNNNNNNNNNNNNNNNNNNNNNNNNNNNNNNNNNNNNNNNNNNNNNNNNNNNNNNNNNNNNNCGAGUCGAAGCUGAGAACUUAAGCCCCAGUAAACGGCGGUGGUAACUAUAACCAUCCUAAGGUAGCGAAAUUCCUUGUCGGGUAAGUUCCGACCUGCACGAAUGGAGUAACGACUUGGGCGCUGUCUCAACCGUGGACUCGGCGAAAUUGCACUACGAGUAAAGAUGCUCGUUACGCGCGGCAGGACGGAAAGACCCCGGGACCUUUACUAUAGUUUGGUAUUGGUGUUUGGUUCGGCUUGUGUAGGAUAGGUGGGAGACUGUGAAGCGGCCACGCCAGUGGUUGUGGAGUCAACGUUGAAAUACCACUCUGGUCGUACUAGAUGUCUAACCUAGGUCCAUUAUCUGGAUCAGGGACAGUGCCUGAUGGGUAGUUUAACUGGGGCGGUUGCCUCCUAAAAUGUAACGGAGGCGCUCAAAGGUUCCCUCAGCCUGGUUGGCAAUCAGGUGUUGAGUGUAAGUGCACAAGGGAGCUUGACUGUGAGACAGACAUGUCGAGCAGGGACGAAAGUCGGAACUAGUGAUCCGGCGCCAGCAGGUGGAAGCGGCGUCGCUCAACGGAUAAAAGGUACCCCGGGGAUAACAGGCUGAUCUUCCCCAAGAGUCCAUAUCGACGGGAUGGUUUGGCACCUCGAUGUCGGCUCGUCGCAUCCUGGGGCUGGAGUAGGUCCCAAGGGUUGGGCUGUUCGCCCAUUAAAGCGGCACGCGAGCUGGGUUUAGAACGUCGUGAGACAGUUCGGUCCCUAUCCGCCGCGCGCGCAGGAAACUUGAGAAAGGCUGUCCCUAGUACGAGAGGACCGGGAUGGACGAACCUCUGGUGUGCCAGUUGUCCCGCCAGGGGCACGGCUGGUUAGCUACGUUCGGAAGUGAUAACCGCUGAAUGCAUCUAAGCGGGAAGCACGUUUCAAGAUGAGGUUUCCCACCGGGUUAACCGGGUAAGGCCCCCAGCAGAACACUGGGUUGAUAGGCCGGAGGUGUACAGCAGCAAUGCCUAGCCGACCGGUACUAAUAGGCCGAGGGCUUGUCUUA
rnacentral:rRNA from 1 species